CUGCUGCCUCCCGUAGGAGUCUGGGCCGUGUCUCAGUCCCAAUGUGGCCGUUCAACCUCUCAGUCCGGCUACCGAUUGUCGGUUUGGUGGGCCGUUACCCCGCCAACUGCCUAAUCGGACGCGAGCCCAUCUUUCAGCGGAUUGCUCCUUUGAUAUCAGUGCCAUGCGACUCCGAUAUUUUAUGCGGUAUUAGCGUUCGUUUCCAAACGUUAUCCCCCUCUGAAAGGCAGGUUGCUCACGUGUUACUCACCCGUCCGCCA
rnacentral:rRNA from 1 species